UUUAAUGAAACUAUAUUAUCUUUUUUGCAUGCUUCUACCUUCGAUCUGAAGAUUACUAACAAUGAUGAAAGGAUCUAACGGCUCUGGUACGUCCGCUUCAGAAGCGGUUGCAACAACCAGUUAUGCGUACGCCUCUUCAAUACUAGUUAAAACAACCUUGAGUAUCAGUGGAGGAAAAGGAAGUUGCGUUGGUGGGUUCUUAAAAUAGUUUGUUAAAUAUUUUCCCUUCAUGAACUAGGAUUGUAAAAAAAAAUGACAAGCCUAGAGAAACAUUGAAUGAGCACAUCAUUAAGUUUAAUCUGUCAUGACCCGAACUUAUUUUGA
rnacentral:lncRNA from 1 species